GCCGUAACGGUCAUCAUGACUCGUCAUCGACAGUGCAAUUGAGCCAGUUGAGUGUAGUGGUCAUGGUCAGUGGUAGUAGUGUAAUACUUUGCAAGUGCCGUGUUUUUAUAUGUAAUAUUUUUACAUUGAACUGGAGUAUUUUACAUAAUAUCGGAUCUCCGUGGAUAAAAAAACCUCAGGAAAUUGUGGAAUAAUAUUGCCAAACAGUGAUAAAUUAGAACUUCUGGUUCAACAACUACUACCAAGGUCGUAGAGUAUAAAAGAAAUUGUGGGAUAAUAUUGCCAAACAUUGGAAACAAUACGAGAGCAAGCAUUUCAUAUUUUAUUGUUGACAGACCUCGCAUAUUUUAUUUUAUAAGUUCCCUCGAAGAGGUGUAUGGACGGUUCGUUUUAUGAACAUAUAUAAAAUAUGUUAGAUAUUUGCAGAUAUUGCUAAUUGAAAAAACUAUCAUUUACUUACAUUUAAAUUAAAAUUUUAGAAUAUACAAUCUCUAAUUAUUAUAGGCUUAAUUCUACAAAAAUGUAUGUAUUUUUAACUUCAAA